rnacentral:miRNA from 1 species
UGAUUGGUACUUCUUAGAGUGGA